rfam:Nitrospinae bacterium RIFCSPLOWO2_12_39_16 rifcsplowo2_12_sub10_scaffold_2935, whole genome shotgun sequence.
UUAACGGCUGUUCUUACAGCCAUUUCAAUUGACACGACAAAACUUG